rnacentral:rRNA from 1 species
UACGUAGGGGGCUAGCGUUGUCCGGAAUCAUUGGGCGUAAAGAGCGCGUAGGCGGCCCGGUAAGUCCGCUGUAAAAGUCAAAGGCUCAACCUUUGAAUGUCAGUGGAUACUGCCGGGCUAGAGUCCGGAAGAGGCGAGUGGAAUUCCUGGUGUAGCGGUGAAAUGCGCAGAUAUCAGGAGGAACACCAAUGGCGAAGGCAGCUCGCUGGGACGUGACUGACGCUGAGACGCGAAAGCGUGGGGAGCAAACAGG